UACGUAGGGUCCAAGCGUUGUCCGGAAUUACUGGGUGUAAAGGGUGCGCAGGCGGGCUUGUGCGUCAGGGGUCAAAUCCCGGGGCUUAACCCCGGACCGGCCUCUGAAACGGCAAGUCUUGAGUGUGAGAGAGGAUGGUAGAAUUCCUGGUGUAGCGGUGAAAUGCGUAGAUAUCAGGAGGAAUACCAGUGGCGAAGGCGACCAUCUGGCUCAUUACUGACGCUCAGGCACGAAAGCGUGGGGAGCAAACAGG
rnacentral:misc_RNA from 1 species